AAGACUAUAGACCUGCGGAGUACCUGCGGAGGGAUCAUUACAGAGUUGCAAAACUCCCAAACCAUCGUGAACGUUACCUACAUCGUUGCUUCGGCGGGUGGCGGGCUUCGGCCCUGCCCUCGGCCCCUCUCGGGGGCCCGCCGGAGGUACACCAAACUCUUGAAUUUACAUGGCCUCUCUGAGUCUUCUGUACUGAAUAAGUCAAAACUUUUAACAAUGGAUCUCUAGAUCGGAAGAGCA
rnacentral:misc_RNA from 1 species